UGGGGAAUAUUGGACAAUGGGCGCAAGCCUGAUCCAGCCAUGCCGCGUGAGUGAUGAAGGCCUUAGGGUUGUAAAGCUCUUUCGCCGGUGAAGAUAAUGACGGUAACCGGAGAAGAAGCCCCGGCUAACUUCGUGCCAGCAGCCGCGGUAAUACGAAGGGGGCUAGCGUUGCUCGGAAUCACUGGGCGUAAAGCGCACGUAGGCGGAUCGUUAAGUCAGGGGUGAAAUCCUGGAGCUCAACUCCAGAACUGCCCCUUGAUACUGGCGAUCUCGAGUUCGAGAGAGGUUGGUUGGAACUCCGAGUGUAGAGGUGAAAUUCGUAGAUAUUCGGAAGAACACCAGUGGCGAAGGCGGCCAACUGGCUCGAUACUGACGCUGAGGUGCGAAAGCGUGGGGAGCAAAGCAGGAUUAGAUACCCUGGUCAGUCCACGCCGUAAAGCGAUGGAUGCUAGCCGUUGGGGGGUUUGACCUCUCAGUGGCGCAGCUAACGCCUUAAGCAUCCCGCCUGGGGAGUACGGUCGCAAGAUUAAAACUCAAAGGAAUUGACGGGGUCAUAGCUG
rnacentral:rRNA from 1 species